GGGCUUCACGUUCGUCUAGGCCACGUGCGUACGUUUCUUUUGAACUCGGCCAUGUUUUGAAAAAUCGCCCAGUCCCGAAGCCGACUAUUAACCACCGAAGGGGUGUAUCGUUGUAGUUCGCUAUAUGGGAUAUCACACACGGGUUUUUAGGAGUUAUUGUCCCUGUUGGAAACCAUACUUCACUAAUAAUUUUGGAGUAAACAAAGAGGUCGUCGUACUCAACAGACUUUUAUAUUAUUUUUUUAAAAAAACGUCUGCGGCUGGGAAGUAGUCGUUCACACUACAACAAAGAGCCACCAAAACAACGGAUUUCCCCUCACGCUUUCAAAGAGGAAAGUUGGCACAUAGAAGUUUCGUUAUGACUACAGAGUGUGACUGAAAUCGGUGACGACAGAGGCAGAAAUAAAAUAGGGAAUUGAAGAUGAUGAAUCGGACAUGGAAAGUUGAUACGGCGGACUUUUUGAUGUAGGCCCUUGAAGAUUGAUUAUGAAGUGAGAAUGUGCUGUAGGGGGAGAGCCUCAGUGAACUUUGACCCCUGUACAGCACAGAAUUUAACAACACAGAAAUCUUAACAGCUACAAAAUCAUUAUCUUUUCAAAUGUGACAAUUAAAACGUUUUAAAAUUAAUUUUUACAGUUGUUUCUAACUUUUAUCAAAAAUUCCGUCUAAAAGUUCAGAUAGUAUCACUUGAACAAUUAUUGUGCUAAUUUUCGAAAUAUUGCCGAAUUGUAAUUUUAAAACGAUUAAAAUGUUACUGUACAUAAAAU